GACGAACGCUGGCGGCGUGCUUAACACAUGCCAGUCGAACGGAAAGGCCCUGCUUUUGUGGGGUGCUCGAGUGGCGAACGGGUGAGUAACACGUGAGUAACCUGCCCUUGACUUUGGGAUAACUUCAGGAAACUGGGGCUAAUACCGGAUAGGAGCUCCUGCUGCAUGGUGGGGGUUGGAAAGUUUCGGCGGUUGGGGAUGGACUCGCGGCUUAUCAGCUUGUUGGUGGGGUAGUGGCUUACCAAGGCUUUGACGGGUAGCCGGCCUGAGAGGGUGACCGGCCACAUUGGGACUGAGAUACGGCCCAGACUCCUACGGGAGGCAGCAGUGGGGAAUAUUGCACAAUGAGCGGAAGCCUGAUGCAGCAACGCCGCGUGCGGGAUGACGGCCUUCGGGUUGUAAACCGCUUUCGCCUGUGACGAAGCGUGAGUGACGGUAAUGGGUAAAGAAGCACCGGCUAACUACGUG
rnacentral:rRNA from 1 species